rnacentral:rRNA from 1 species
GACGAACGCUGGCGGCGUGCUUAACACAUGCAAGUCGAACGGAAAGGCCCUGCUUUUGUGGGGUGCUCGAGUGGCGAACGGGUGAGUAACACGUGAGUAACCUGCCCUUGACUUUGGGAUAACUUCAGGAAACUGGGGCUAAUACCGGAUAGGAGCUCCUGCUGCAUGGUGGGGGUUGGAAAGUUUCGGCGGUUGGGGAUGGACUCGCGGCUUAUCAGCUUGUUGGUGGGGUAGUGGCUUACCAAGGCUUUGACGGGUAGCCGGCCUGAGAGGGUGACCGGCCACAUUGGGACUGAGAUACGGCCCAGACUCCUACGGGAGGCAGCAGUGGGGAAUAUUGCACAAUGGGCGGAAGCCUGAGGCAGCAACGCCGCGUGCGGGAUGACGGCCUUCGGGUUGUAAACCGCUUUCGCCUGGGACGAAGCGUGAGUGACGGUAAUGGGUAAAGAAGCACCGGCUAACUACGUG